CAAUAGCGUAUAUUAAAGUUGUUGCGGUUAAAAGCUCGUAGUUGGAUUUCUGCUGAGGACGAUCGGUCCGCCCUCUGGGUGAGCAUUGACUCGGCCUUGGCAUCUUCUUGGAGAACGCUACUGCACUUGACUGUGUGGUGCGGUAUCCAGGACUUUUACUUUGAGGAAAUUAGAGUGUUUCAAGCAGGCGCACGCCUUGAAUACAUUAGCAUGGAAUAAUAGGAUAGGACCUUGGUUCUAUUUUGUUGGUUUCUAGAGCUGAGGUAAUGAUUAAUAGGGAUAGUUGGGGGCAUUCGUAUUUAAUUGUCAGAGGUGAAAUUCUUGGAUUUAUGAAAGAUGAACUUAGGCGAAAGCAUUUACCAAGGAUGUUUUCAUUAAUCAAGAACGAAAGUUAGGGGAUCGAAGAUGAUUAGAUACCAU
rnacentral:rRNA from 1 species